AUGAAGCCCAGCUUGCUGGGUGGAUUAGUGGCGAACGGGGGAGUAACACGUGGGUGAUCUGCCCUGCACUUCGGGAUAAGCCUGGGAAACUGGGUCUAAUACCGGAUAGGACCUCGGGAUGCAUGUUCCGGGGUGGAAAGGUUUUCCGGUGCAGGAUGGGCCCGCGGCCUAUCAGCUUGUUGGUGGGGUAACGGCCCACCAAGGCGACGACGGGUAGCCGGCCUGAGAGGGCGACCGGCCACACUGGGACUGAGACACGGCCCAGACUCCUACGGGAGGCAGCAGUGGGGAAUAUUGCACAAUGGGCGCAAGCCUGAUGCAGCGACGCCGCGUGAGGGAUGACGGCCUUCGGGUUGUAAACCUCUUUCAGUACCGACGAAGCGCAAGUGACGGUAGGUACAGAAGAAGCACCGGCCAACUA
rnacentral:rRNA from 1 species